rnacentral:tRNA from 1 species
GGUGGCGUAGCCAAGCGGUUAAGGCGGAGGUCUGCAAAACCUCUACUCAGCGGUUCAAAUCCGCUCGCCACCUCCA